GAAUCGCCGAUUGAAUAACCGAAUACCUCCAAUAUCUUGGACAAUAUGUUUGCAACUGCAACCGCUUUCGCAUGUUCAGAUCCACGGCCAGUUGAUCGGAGUGACCGGCAAUAUAACCGAGUGCCAUGAUUGCCGGUAAUCUGGUUGCCGACUUGGAGGUGUUAAUUAAUUCGAUAAGAGCGGCGAUACCUCCAAUGUUUACUAUAAGCUGCGCCAACUGAAAAUUUGUAUUACAAAGUUUGAUCACA